rnacentral:rRNA from 1 species
GGACGAACGCUGGCGGCGUGACUUAACACAUGCAAGUCGAGCGGUAAGGGCCCUUUCGGGGGUACACGAGCGGCGAACGGGUGAGUAACACGUGGGUGACCUGCCCUCAGCUCUGGGAUAAGCCUGGGAAACCGGGUCUAAUACUGGAUAUGACUCCAUGACGCAUGUUGUGGGGUGGAAAGCCUUGUGCGGCUGAGGAUGGGCCCGCGGCCUAUCAGCUUGUUGGUGGGGUGANGGCCUACCAAGGCGACGACGGGUAGCCGGCCUGAGAGGGCGACCGGCCACACUGGGACUGAGACACGGCCCAGACUCCUACGGGAGGCAGCAGUGGGGAAUCUUGCGCAAUGGGCGAAAGCCUGACGCAGCGACGCCGCGUGAGGGAUGACGGCCU